ACGUUGAAACCGUGCUCCCUUACGAUUACUGAAGUUAAGCAAUGUCGAGCCUGGUCAAUACCUAGAUGGGUGAUCUCUAGGGAAUACCAAGUGGUGUAA